GGAAUAUAAGAACCCGUCUCUUAAUUUUUAACUAAAAAAAUUAAGAAUCGGUUCUUAGUUUUUUUAGUUAAAAGUUAAGAGACGGAUUCUUAUAUUCC
rnacentral:pre_miRNA from 1 species